GGGCGAUUGGCGCAGUUGGCUAGCGCGCAUGCAUGACACGCAUGAGGUCACAGGUUCGAGCCCUGUAUCGCCCA
rnacentral:tRNA from 2 species